AAACCAGCACCUCAAGUGGUCAGGAUGAUUAUUGGGCCUAAAGCAUCCGUAGCCGGCUCUGUAAGUUUUCGGUUAAAUCUGUACGCUUAACGUAUAGGCUGCCGGGAAUACUGCAGAGCUAGGGAGUGGGAGAGGUAGACGGUACUCGGGAGGAAGUGGUAAAAUGCUUUGAUCUCUCGAUGACCACCUGUGGCGAAGGCGGUCUACCAGAACACGUCCGACGGUGAGGGAUGAAAGCUGGGGGAGCAAACCGGAUUAGAAACCCCAGUAGUCC
rnacentral:rRNA from 1 species